rnacentral:rRNA from 1 species
UACUGCUUGACCUAACACUUCAAGAAACUGGUGGGUUUCCUGCCCUUUUUCGAAGACUUUGGUUUGAAUUUAUUACCCUGUUAGAAACCCUACAUUCCCAGAACAACCCCUUGUAUACUUGCUUCGUCUGUUCACCUCCAUCAAAGUGAACAAAAAGGAAUACCCCCUACGUAAGCGCAGGUACCGGGGUAACGACUUUAGGGCNANUUAUUGCCCAUGAUGUAACAAGGGACUUAUUACAUUUUCUUCCUUCUGAACUAGGAAAGGAUAGUAAUUUUUUAUUCAAAUACCCGAUGAAACCGGCUCUAGAAUGCGCACACACGGCCCGUCCCCCUCACCCAAGA